UACGAAGGGGGCUAGCGUUGCUCGGAAUCACUGGGCGUAAAGGGUGCGUAGGCGGGUCUUUAAGUCAGGGGGGAAAUCCUGGAGCUCAACUCCAGAACUGCCCUUGAUACUGAGGAGCUCGAGUCCGGAAGAGGUGAGUGGAACUGCGAGUGUAGAGGUGAAAUUCGUAGAUAUUCGCAAGAACACCAGUGGCGAAGGCGGCUCACUGGUCCGGUACUGACGCUGAGGUGCGAAAGCGUGGGGAGCAAACCGG
rnacentral:rRNA from 1 species